UUUUCUUUCCUUGUACGUGUGAGGUUAUGAAGAGGUUAAAGGCUCCUGCUUCGCUGCGACCAAACUGGACAACAGAUCGACAGCGAUGCAGGAAUAGCAGACAACGUCUCCACAGGGAAGGACUGAUGGACGGACAGAUAGAUGGAGGGAUGAGUCACGGAGAGGGAUGGAGGGAUGAAGCGAUGAGACAUGAAGGGAAGUGCGAUAUGCCGUCCUCAGUUGCUGCCAUUGGAGCUGUAGCAGGAGGAUUAGGAGCUUCGGUCGGGGCUCCUGCUGCUCUGGUUGGAUGGAUGUCAUCAACAGGUGGUGUGCCCGGAGCUGCUACUGUAGCUGCAGCUGCUGUUACAUCUGCCUUUGGAAGAGAAGCAGUAGAGAUGUUGCUUUCAGCCAUGGGUUACCAAACUGGAUACGGCUGCUCAGUCCAAGACUCUAUUAUUUAUUGUUACUAAGUCUCAUUCCUACAUUGUCAAAAAUAUUGACAAAUUGGGAAUGAGACUCAACAAUCAAACUUCCUCAGGAAGUGCUCACUCCUUUUUUAUAGAGGCUAAUGCAAUUUAUAUCAAGCAAUGUUGUCAUCCAAACAGCUGACAUUUUUUUGCAAUAAAUCUGUAAAACCUCCCAGUUCAAUGUGUCGUCUGUAAAUAUUUUCACUGCAUAUAAAUUCAUAGAAGCACUCACUGAUUCAUUAACUAUUGUUACAGAAAUUCUUAAAUAAAUAAAUCAAGUUUCUUUGUUUGCCCACCCAAACAAUGAGCUAUAGGAUGCUAUAAAGUUCAUACAGCUGAGUGGAGCUGCGUAUUCAGGUGAUUAUCACCUGUAAGGCCCUAGCUUUUAUGCAUAUUUUCCAUUAGAAAACCUUGAAAAUGCAAAAAAUGUAAUAAAAUAUUGAAAUGUGUCGAAAAG
rnacentral:lncRNA from 1 species